GUCGAACGAGAGAAUUGCUAGCUUGCUAAUAAUUCUCUAGUGGCGCACCGGUGAGUAACACGUGAGUAACCUGCCCCCGAGAGCGGGAUAGCCCUGGGAAACUGGGAUUAAUACCGCAUAGUAUCGAAAGAUUAAAGCAGCAAUGCGCUUGGGGAUGGGCUCGCGGCCUAUUAGUUAGUUGGUGAGGUAACGGCUCACCAAGGCGAUGACGGGUAGCCGGUCUGAGAGGAUGUCCGGCCACACUGGAACUGAGACACGGUCCAGACACCUACGGGUGGCAGCAGUCGAGAAUCAUUCACAAUGGGGGAAACCCUGAUGGUGCGACGCCGCGUGGGGGAAUGAAGGUCUUCGGAUUGUAAACCCCUGCCAUGUGGGAGCAAAUUAAAAAGAUAGUACCACAAGAGGAAGAGACGGCUAACUCUGUGCCAGCAGCCGCGGUAAUACAGAGGUCUCAAGCGUUGUUCGGAAUCACUGGGCGUAAAGCGUGCGUAGGCUGUUUCGUAAGUCGUGUGUGAAAGGCGCGGGCUCAACCCGCGGACGGCACAUGAUACUGCGAGACUAGAGUAAUGGAGGGGGAACCGGAAUUCUCGGUGUAGCAGUGAAAUGCGUAGAUAUCGAGAGGAACACUCGUGGCGAAGGCGGGUUCCUGGACAUUAACUGACGCUGAGGCACGAAGGCCAGGGGAGCGAAAGGGAUUAGAUACCCCUGUAGUCCUGGCAGUAAACGGUGCACGCUUG
rnacentral:rRNA from 1 species